rnacentral:misc_RNA from 1 species
AAGUCGUAACAAGGUUUCCGUAGGUGAACCUGCGGAAGGAUCAUCACUAAGGAUGUUAAAUCCAAGGUAUCUGAGGAUUGAUAAUGAGUAUUGGUGGGACUUUCCACCAGUAUUAAAACAAACAACCUAAACUAAUCUAAUACAAAACAUAUACAACUUUCAACAAUGGAUCUCUUGGCUCUC